CCUACGGGAGGCAGCAGUGAGGAAUAUUGGUCAAUGGCCGUAAGGCUGAACCAGCCAAGUCGCGUGAAGGAAGAAGGAUCUAUGGUUUGUAAACUUCUUUUAUAGGGGAAUAAAGGUAUCCACGUGUGGAUAUUUUCAUGUACCCUAUGAAUAAGCAUCGGCUAACUCCGUGCCAGCAGCCGCGGUAAUACGUAGGAGGCGAGCGUUAUCCGGAUUUAUUGGGUGUAAAGGGGGCGCAGACUGUAUUGUAAGUCAGGAGGGAAAGUUUGGGGCUCAACCACGAGACUGCCGUUGAAACUGGAAGACUGGAGUAUGUGUGAGGUAGGCGGAAUGCGUGGUGUAGCGGUGAAAUGCAUAGAUAUCACGAAGAACUCCGAUUGCGAAGGCAGCCUACUAGGCCAUAACUGACGCUGAGGCACGAAAGCAUGGGUAGCGAACAGGAUUAGAUACCCCAGUAGUC
rnacentral:rRNA from 1 species